AAGUCGUAACAAGGUCAUCGUAGGUGAACCUGCGGUGGGAUCAUCAAUAAAUCUUAUCAAACCACUUGGUGUGAAACUUACUUUUGCUAGGGAGUGCCCGUAUUAUUUUGUAUGGGCGCCCCCUAUAUUUGGGAGUCUCGGCUCCCAGAUGACUGCACUUUACUGUGUUGUGUGUGGCUCACUUUUUUACCUUCCCGCAAGCCAGUCCCGAUGGGGGCUGUCUGGGAUGCACUUUUUGUAUACGAUUCUGGUGUAAAAACUAGGAAAAAUUAUAUAAAACUAUUAAUGGUGGAUCACUUGGCUCUC
rnacentral:misc_RNA from 1 species